GUUUUUUUUUUACAUUUCUUUUAACACACCACUUCAAUUUCAGGGGGACAAGUGGAACCCACACUAUUCCAGCUAAAUGCCCCCCACAGCAUAACAGAGCCACUGGAUCCCCUCAGCUGGAAUGCAGAUGAUUACUGCAUGGUAUGCUCCUUGCUUGAAAAAGAUGAAGAUCAGAGCAUGAUUGAAAUGGUGCAGUGUGGUGUGUGCAGUAGGUGGGCACAUUUUGAAUGUGCCCAAUAUGAAAACCAUAGUUGUGUUACAUAUACGCGCAAAAAGUGCCACUAGCUGCAGUUAUAACAUGGGUAGCAUACUUCAUGGGGCAGAAAAGAAGCUGUCAGAGAUAGCAGGACACUGUGAAAUGUGUAAAAAAUUAAGGUAACACAUCUUGACAGGGAAAUAAUGAGUCAUCAGAAUGUGCUACCAGCAUAACAUUCAUGUGUGAUUUGUAAAUGACUUCUGUAUGUUAAUAAAG
ensembl:lncRNA